rnacentral:rRNA from 1 species
UACGGAGGGAGCUAGCGUUGUUCGGAAUUACUGGGCGUAAAGCGUACGUAGGCGGUUAUUCAAGUCAGAGGUGAAAGCCCGGGGCUCAACCCCGGAACGGCCUUUGAAACUAGGUAGCUAGAGUCUUGGAGAGGUCAGUGGAAUUCCGAGUGUAGAGGUGAAAUUCGUAGAUAUUCGGAAGAACACCAGUGGCGAAGGCGACUGACUGGACAAGUACUGACGCUGAGGUACGAAAGCGUGGGGAGCAAACAGG